UGUAUCUUUUUUGUCCAGAUAAUGAUUGAGUUAUACUUCGUCAGACUUUCACUGACGUGUAAUAUACAUGUAAGAAAAUGCACAAAUAUAUGUGUGUGGUCAGGCCAUUCAAGAUGGCCCUCCGCUUGCUCUCUCCAUAUCUCCUGCUCUACCAGGCCCUGCUGCACUCACAUGACUAUCCAAUCCUGUUAAUUAUAGGGCUUAAUCACUAACUGCCAGCGUGCUUGCCCCCUGCCCCAGCUGCUGGUUUCCCUGGAAACCGACGAGCCAACCUGACGUCAGUUCCCCCUAUAAAUACAAUCUCCUCCCCUGAGUAGCAGAGAUUGCCGCCUUGUCUUCCACUUGGCUGCGCUUGGUGAGUGUGUCACUCCAGGCCCCUCGGUGUGAGAGCCCCCCACACCCACAAACCAGUGAUGGCUUUGUCACUGUUUCUGUGCUCUUUCCUCGGUGUUGACUCUGGGCAACUUCAAGGCUCGCAGGCCUGCAGAGCGCCCAACAAGACGGCGCCAGGAGCGGAGAACAAACUGUGAACCGCGCUACCAGCCAGUCCGAAGUCUCCUUCGUGCCGCUCCAAAUCUCCACUCCAAACACCAAAGGAAAAUGGAGCACUUCUCCCUAUUCCUCCAUUGACUACAACUAGAAAACUUGGACAUACAUAUAAAACAAACAAAAAGGACUUUGAAAGGUACAGAGAAGUCAGGCAGCCUAGGAACAUCAGGAACCAAGAGGUGACACCAUGGCAAGAGGAUUAAGAUUAUCCAGACUCUUCCAAGCAGCUUUCAUUUUUCCUUUUAAUCAUCUAAUGAAGAAGUAUAUAUUGGAUGCCUACUUGGUGCCGAACACACAAGGCAUUUGAGAUCAAAUGAUCAAUGUCUCCACUAAUUUGUGAGACCGUAUGGAAGUACCUCCCUCAUGAUGCCUGCCUGGAUCCUACCCAGCUUAAGAAAACAAAACCAAACCUCUCACUCCUCCCAAGCACUGUAAUUCUAUUUGUUUACUACUUUUAGCCUUAUUUGACAGGGUUUUUUGGAAGGUUAUUUUGUAUCUGUUUUAGAUUAUAAGGACAGAGGAAACACUAAGAAGGGAUUGCUAUCCCUAGGGCUGGGCAAUGGAAAGGGUGGAACUAUUAAAUCUUAGAAGCUUGAAGGUGUGCCUACUGAAACUGAGACCUUGGAACAGGGAUUACUUCUUGGCUAUUAUUAAUAUUUCUGAGCUCAGAAAUGGGACCCUGUGAAACUGCGACCCAGACCUCUUGAGGAAGGGAUUCUAGACAGCUGGUGUCUCUCAUGAGGUUGGUUCAGCUAAUGUUGAAAAAAGUGUAGUUUGGUGCAGCUAUUAUGGAAAACAGUAUGGAGAUUCCUCAAAAGACUGAAAAUAGACUUACCUUACAAUCCAGCAAUCCCACUCCUGGGCAUUUAUCCAGAGGGAACCUUAAUUCAAAAAGAUACAUGCACCCCAACGUUCAUUGCAACCCUAUUUACAAUAGCCAAGACAUGGAAACAACCUAAGUGUCCAUCAACAGGUGACUGGAUAAAGAGGUUGUAGUAUAUUUAUACAAUGGAGUACUACUCAGCCACAAAAAAGAAUAAGAUAAUGCCAUUUGCAGCAACAUGGAUAGAUCUAGAGAUCAUCAUUCUAAGUGAAGUAAGCCAGAAAGAGAAAGAAAAAUACCCUGUGAUAUCACUUAUAUGUGGAAUCUAAAAAAAAAGAAAGA